rnacentral:rRNA from 1 species
GACAGAGGGUGCAAGCGUUGUUCGGAAUUAUUGGGCGUAAAGGGCGCGUAGGCGGCUUGGCAAGUCGAAUGUGAAAGCCCAGGGCUCAACCCUGGAAGUGCAUCCGAAACUAUCAAACUAGAGUCCCGGAGAGGGUGGUGGAAUUCCCAGUGUAGGAGGUGAAAUUCGUAGAUAUUGGGAGGAACACCAGGUGGCGAAGGCGGACCGCCCUGGACGGAGACUGACGCUGAGACGCGAAGCG